GCGGGAUUAGUACAAUGGUAGUAUGCAUCCUUCCCAAGGAUGAGGCGCGAGUUCGAUUCUCGUAUCCCGCU
rfam:Candidatus Gottesmanbacteria bacterium RBG_13_37_7 RBG_13_scaffold_14955, whole genome shotgun sequence.